AACGAACGCUGGCGGCAGGCCUAACACAUGCAAGUCGAGCGAGGACUUCGGUCCUAGCGGCGGACGGGUGAGUAACGCGUGGGAACGUGCCCUUUGCUUCGGAAUAGCCCUGGGAAACUGGGAGUAAUACCGGAUGAGCCCUUUGGGGGAAAGAUUUAUCGGCGAAGGAUCGGCCCGCGUUGGAUUAGGUAGUUGGUGGGGUAAUGGCCUACCAAGCCGACGAUCCAUAGCUGGUUUGAGAGGAUGAUCAGCCACACUGGGACUGAGACACGGCCCAGACUCCUACGGGAGGCAGCAGUGGGGAAUCUUAGACAAUGGGGGAAACCCGGAUCUAGCCAUGCCGCGUGAGCGAUGAAGGCCUUAGGGUUGUAAAGCUCUUUCAGCUGGGAAGAUAAUGACGGUACCAGCAGAAGAAGCCCCGGCUAACUCCGU
rnacentral:rRNA from 1 species